CCAAAUAGCUCAACCUUUGAGAUCACCAUCCCUCAUAUGUAUUUGAUCCAUGUGUAUGGGGAGAACAACAGCAACCUGAAUCAAAUUCAACAGAUCUCUGGUGCAAACGUGGUUGUUCAUGAUCCAAAACCUGGUGCUACAGAAGGGCUGGUGAUUGUAUCUGGAACACAAGAGCAAACUCACUCUGCUCAGUGCCUAAUUCAAGGUUUUAUUCUAUGUGGAAUAACUACACCUUGAGUCUGCAGUUUUAGUGUCUAAACAAAAGGUCUUGUUGUAAUUGUUGUGUACUAUAUGAGAAGUUGAAGAUAUUUGUAUUUUGACAUUGUAUGAAUUGAACUUCUAGUUAACAUGUAUCACAAUGGUUGCCAUGUUUUUGUUUAUGA